UAAUUGAGGCCAGUUUAUAUCCAUUUGUUCUUGUGUCAACAUAGGUCCUAAUUUAAAUAAUUCCUCCUCCAUUCCUGGUGUUUUUCCGUUUGAUUUAUUUUUGUAGAGAAAUGAAAGCUGGUCAGAAGUUUUUUGACAAAAACAUUCUGUGUUGGUAAAUGCCCAUUCUUCAAAACUGAGACUGUCCACAGGAAAAGCUGCUAUAUUUCCUUCUGGUUGCAUCAGAAGAUACACAUAUCAUCUAUCAUUUGCACCCAUCACCUUAGUAAAGGAACAAACAUGAAAAACAAAUCACUGUCUGCGAAUGGAUCAUUUUCAUGUUCCCUCUUCCAUGAGGGAUUGAGGUCCCAGCUUCUGCUGAGAAGCUGAACUUUGUACCAAGGACGAUCAGCAGAGACGUAAAUGGAAGGGCUGCAGAAAAAGAGAGGUGCCUGUGCCAGCCUACUCCAGCAUCUUUGGAAGGAACCCUGGUGUAGAGCAACCUGAAUAUGCUGUACCUUCCCUUCCCCCUGCCAAACCCAAACUAGCUCCUGUAAUGAGAGCAUCAUGUGCUCUGGGCACUAUAUGCAGAGCUAUGACGCUCCUGCUCAGUUAGCCACGAUCAGCCAGGCCCUGCUUCUGCAAACUCUUCCUCAGAUGCUUAAUUUCAACCAUGUGAGCAGGCCCGUUGAUUUCACACAUGUUUACAGGACUGGGGCCUACAUCAGUAUUGUGGUGAGAACUGCAUGGAGGAAAGGAGCCAGCAUCCAUGUUACAGGAAUCACUCCAGUCUAAUGAGACGACUGCUAUCUCACCUAAGAUCUUGAUCUCCAUCUAGGGCUCACUGGCCCUGUAGAGGAGGUUUCACAGCGACAGUCCCUGAUGCAAGAGCAGCUCCUGUUUCUGUGUGUGCUCCGGCUGACAGCAAGAGUCAAACUUUGGGCUCCCUUGGGAGCUAGAGUACAAUGGAGGGAGCAAAAUGUCGGAUAGAGCUGAGAAACAGCCUGCGUGUACGUUAGUCUCUUUUCGGACUAUGAUACUGAUGUGUUUGCUGGACUCAUCUCUAUUAGCUCACGUUAUUGCCUGCAUGCAAAGAGCUGGAUUCCUGAAUGAGUUCCAAGCUAAUUAAUUGAGUGAAAUAUAUUGUUACCACACACAUUGCAAGCUGGCCUUGAAAUACAAAAGACUGAUUAUGUGAAUCUAUGUGCUAAAUUCCUCAGUCACCAACUCCUUCUGAAUUGUCACCUCCUCCCCUGGGCAGAAAGGUUCAUUGGGUGGUGGUAAUGUAGCUUAGAAUUGUGUGUUGCAUUUAUGAAUGGAGGCUUGUCAAUAACAUGAGAGGUGUGUCUAUAAAACAGCCUCUAAGGUCUGACCUGACUGCAGUGAAGGGACUGGAUUAAGCAUCUCAAGAGUGAGUACUGGAAAACCAGAGACCAGAACCCCACCUUGGGCUACUUACCGACAUUGUGCCUGUUUUCUGAGGAGUUUGACUGGGUGCUGGGUAUUGCACCGAACACAGAGCCAGCGAUGGUGCAUGUCUACCUGGUUAGCCAGGAUGGUGCCCUGCUGGCCCCAGAAUCCAGCAUGGGGACUGAUGGGAAACAGGAGCAGGUGCCGAGUGAGGGCAGUGAAGGAACUGUUACUGAAACCCUGAGCCUGGUAGGCUUCUGACCCUGUUUUAAUGUUUAUUAUUAUUAAUAUAGGCAUGGCAGGGAUUUCUGCUCUAUUAACCAAUGCAAAAGUUAUGAGACAUCCCAGCUAGCAGCAUGUAUCCACCAAUGGCAGACUGUAUCCCAGUGCUGUGGCUUCCCUAUCACAUGGAGUUCAAAUGGUGACCUAGAAAUGCAAAUAGUAAAAAUGCCUUAGAGUGAAUUUUUACCUGAAAGGCACAGAUUUUUGGUCCGGCCAUUCCUGUUCCCUAAAAAUAAUAACUUUGCAUUGCCAUGCCUGUAAGUACACCAUUCUGUAACCACUCAGUAACAUAAAGAGCCACUGGAAAAUGAACUGUCAAAGAGGGGAGAGGUGAAAAUGAGUUCCAGCCACAAAUCUAGUCCAUUUCAGGUAAAGAUAGUCCAUGCAGUCUACAGAUGACAAAAGCAGUUAUCCCCAAUUUGACCGGGGUUUGAAAAUGCAUCCAGAAAUGUGCCAUGGAGGAUGGGGUAUAAGAGAGAUGACUGUGGAGUUGUGUGUGUUUGCAUGCAGCCAUAACAGGCUAAGCCAUGUGGAAGCUAAUGGAGCAUCCUGUUGAUUCCCUCAUGAAUUUUGAACCAAUCCCAGGUGCUGAUAGAAACUUUUCCUGGAGCAGGAACCGUAGCUAGGCAGUCACAUUGCAGGGAAGGGUGUAUUUCCUAGGGCCAGCUUGGUAGCUGACCAGCCCACUCCACUAAUCAAUGUGCUGGUCAGUCUCUAUACAUUUGAAUACUUCAGCUGCACACACUGCAGGUUUCCCACCAGCAGCUUGGAAUAACAACUCCCUCUGCCAGCCGAGCAGCACAAGAACUGUUCUGCCCUCCAAAAUAUGGAAGGCCUGAAACGAUAGAAAAAGCUUUUGUAGCAUUGCCACUGAUGGCACCCUGCCCACCCGCACAACCCAGCCAGCCCAAGUAGUUCUGCACUUUUUUAGGAAAAAAAAAAAAAGCAAGCCUGUCAUUGUCUCUGCACUUCUUUCGCUGUGAUUAACCAGGCUGUGUCAAGGGGCUUCUGUGCAUCCCUCUCGCAAUAUAUUGAUGUUCAGUUUCGAAAAGUAGCAUUUUAUGUCCUUGAAAUUCCACAAGGAUUUUUCUGUGCUCCUGCAUGGGGGUCUUUGAGACAAUAACCCUGUGUGUCCUGUCCUGUUCUAGGCCCCUCACUCUCUAUUGGCUGCAGAACCUCCACAGCUCGCCCACAGUGCCGUACAAACGUUUCAGUGAUGAACUGAUGGUUGAAGUUCUGCAGAGAGCCACCGACAAUUCCAGUACCAUGAACAAAGGGACUUGUGGCUAGAGGAAAGGCCUGGUGGGAGACCAGAGGAAAGGCUCCGGCUGGCUGCAUAGCCUGAGGACAGGGUUUCAACGUGGGAGCAGGCACUUGCUUUGCAGUUCCUGGAACAGGAAUGGUGGCUAAGGGAGGACAGAGCUGAGCAGCUGUUGUCAGUAAUAGCUACAAGAGUACCAGCUGUUGCUCCAUUAUCCACACCAUGGCCUGAGAUACCUGCACGGUACCCUGGGAUGCAGGCCAGAAACUUCAGGCCUGGGUUGCCCAUGCAGUCAGGCCCCAUGAGCAGCUGGGCAGGGCAAAUUAGCCCUAUGCAGCUCUUUGUCUUGACCUCCUCCCCUGUUGAUGCCUCCAGCCCCUGCCCUGGCAUCAAGUGCUCAGCAAAUGGAGAACAAAGAGAAAGGAGAAUGGGGGCCCAGGGGACAUGCCACGGCAGAGGGCUCUGUCUUGUACUUGAUUCCACUGUUCACACUUGUUCUUCUAGUGGUUUUUGUGGGUUUUCCCCUGUAAGGUUCUGUUGUUACUGGUGUUUUGGUGUGGGGGUGGUGGCUCGCCGUCUCGGAAAGGGCAACUGUUGUAGUUUUAUAACAUGUAUGUAAAUAAAGAUUUGUAUGUCUUCAGGA